rnacentral:rRNA from 1 species
UGGCUCAGGACGAACGCUGGCGGCGUGCUUAACACAUGCAAGUCGAACGAGGCUGAAGGGAGAGCUUGCUCUAAGAUCAGCCGAGUGGCGGACGGGUGAGUAACGCGUGAACAAUCUGUCUCAUACGAGGGGGAUAACGCAUCGAAAGAUGUGCUAAUACCGCAUAGGACCACAGAGCCGCAUGGCUGGAGGGGUGAAAGGAGCAAUCCGGUGUGAGGUGAGUUCGCGUCUGAUUAGAUAGUUGGUGAGGUAACGGCCCACCAAGUCAACGAUCAGUAGCCGACCUGAGAGGGUGAUCGGCCACAUUGGGACUGAGACACGGCCCAGACUCCUACGGGAGGCAGCAGUGGGGAAUAUUGGGCAAUGGGCGAAAGCCUGACCCAGCAACGCCGCGUGAAGGAAGAAGGUUUUCGGAUCGUAAACUUCUGUCCUAUGUGAAGAGGAAGAGACGGUAGCAUAGGAGGAAGCCCCGGCUAACUACGUGCCAGCCGCGGC